UACAGAGGGUGCAAGCGUUAAUCGGAAUUACUGGGCGUAAAGCGUGCGUAGGCGGUUAUUUAAGUCGGAUGUGAAAUCCCCGGGCUCAACCUGGGAAUUGCAUUCGAUACUGGAUAGCUAGAGUUCGGCAGAGGGAAGCGGAAUUUCUGGUGUAGCGGUGAAAUGCGUAGAUAUCAGAAGGAACAUCAGUGGCGAAAGCGGCUUCCUGGACCAGAACUGACGAUCAGGCACGAAAGCGUGGGGAGCAAACAGG
rnacentral:rRNA from 1 species